UACAGAGGGGGCAAGCGUUGUUCGGAAUUACUGGGCGUAAAGGGCGCGUAGGCGGCCGCCUAAGUCAGACGUGAAAUCCCUCGGCUCAACCGGGGAACUGCGUCUGAUACUGGGUGGCUUGAAUCCGGGAGAGGGAUGCGGAAUUCCAGGUGUAGCGGUGAAAUGCGUAGAGAUGUGGAGGAACACCAGUGGCGAAGGCGACUCUUUGGUCUGUAACUGACGCUGAGGCGCGAAAGCGUGGGGAGCAAACAGG
rnacentral:rRNA from 1 species